rnacentral:lncRNA from 1 species
CAGUGUUAGAGGUGAAACCCACGCAGAGCCAUGAGAAUGACAGACAAAUGAUUUGCUGUUGCAUUGCACAGCCAUCUUAAACCCUGAUGUCAUAAAACUCAGUCUCCUGAAGAGAAAACCUGCGGGAUUCUUAGACAUAGGAAGGUCCACACAGGCUUCAACAGAGGAGUGUGGACACGAUGAAUGAUUCCUAGAGUGGUACAUUGUGGGUGAGUGACACUUCCCUACAAGGCUGAGCUGAGACUUUUGAAGACCUUUCAAGGCAUUAUCCCUUCCAGGAUAUCUACAGGGAAACAUUACUGAGAACUGACGUCAAAUACAUCAAUCCAUUUGAUGCUCAAUUGCAAGCAUGGUGCAAGUACUACUCUAAAUAAUACAAGCAGAACUCCACUAAUACAUAGUCUAGCUGCCUCUACUUUAAAAAAAAAAAAGGGAUGUAGUAUAGUUUCUCAGUGAUGCCUUAUGGAGCCCUAGUUUUAAAACCCUUCAAAGCAAUAGCUGUAUGAAAAGUACUAGAUGUGGCGGUAGCACUUGAGACAGAGAACAGCCAUCAGGAAAGACAUAGACCCACCUCUGACCAUGGCUGAUGGGUGAAUUCCUUGAGAGGGCUUCUUAGUAGUGUUACAAUAUAUUCACCAAGCUGGCGAGAGAAGAAUGAAAGGGAAGAGGUGAGUCUUUUAGGAGUAGAGGUGUUCAUGUUUCAUUCCAUACCAUAAUUGAUUUUUAAUUGCUAGUUCAGCAAUGAGUUUCAGUUUUUAUCUUACAGGAUCUUGCUAAGACCAGUGGCAGACACCAUUUUUGACAAUAUUUUCUCAUAGUUUGGUAUGCAGCGAGAAUGCUCCUUUGAUAAAUUGCUUAUGUAAGUCACUCUCUUUAUUAGUCAAGUAAUCUGAAAUAUAAAUUAUAAGCUUUUCAAGUAUUUGUUUUUUCACAUCUAGAAACUAAUGACUUUGGUUACUCUGGAGACUAUUAUGGCAGAUUUUUCUGCAAAUGACUAUUUAAAUGAGUUUUCAGUAUGGGAAAAAUAUGUCACUUGUAAGUAAUGUAUUCUGAUUAUUUUCUAAUGUUGAUAGUCAUUAAUAAAAAUCAUUUUCAGCCAUUUAGGUCAUAUUAAACUGUUAAAUUCAUUAUUAUUUAAUUAUAUUAAAUUUGUGUGACUCAAAAAUAACCAGGGGAUCUGAAUUCAAAAAAGAUAAUAUAAAAACAACAAGUAACUCGUGUGUUUUCUGUCUACCUGUGGCAAUCAUUGCUAAUUAGGAGAGUUAGAAAAUCAGAUGCUCACUAACCUUGUGUGCUAGGGAACCUAUCUCAACUUUCCUCUUUAUAAAAUUGAACCUAUUAAGAUGUGACUAAUCUAUAUCACAAGAUUUCUUUUGGUGCUAAGCAG